GAACAAUGCUUGUAUUAUUUGUACUCAAUUCGAUGAAGAUAAGCUUACAUACUUCUAUACCUGCAUGAUUCACAUUAUAAUAUUGGUUUUUUCAUAUAAAUUCGUGUGUCAUACGAUUCUGUUUCAUUUGAAGUGAACUGUUGAAGGAUUUCAUAAGAUAAAUCAAUCAUGAGGGCCUCUAUGAUUUUCUGUUUGAUGCUGGUUUUCAUUCUAUUCUCUGCAUGUCAAGCCUUUCCCGAUUUGGUUCCAGAUCAGCAUAAAAACAAAAAUUGCGAAUGCAUAUUUCGCCAUGCCUGCCAAGGAGAAAUAAAUUCAGACGUCUACUGCCCUGGAAGUUACAUUUUCGGAUGCUGUAUUCAGUGAAUUGAGCGCACUGAUUCACUGAUCACAUAAGCAAAAG